rnacentral:rRNA from 1 species
CCUACGGGAGGCAGCAGUGGGGAAUAUUGCACAAUGGGGGAAACCCUGAUGCAGCGACGCCGCGUGAGUGAAGAAGUAUUUCGGUAUGUAAAGCUCUGUCAGCAGGGAAGAAAAUGACGGUACCUGACCAAGAAGCCCCGGCUAACUACGUGCCAGCAGCCGCGGUAAUACGUAGGGGGCAAGCGUUAUCCGGAUUUACUGGGGGUAGAGGGAGCGUAGGCGGCAGGGCAAGUCUGGAGUGAAAGGCGGGGGCUCAACCCCCGGACUGCUCUGGAAACUGGCAGGCUGGAGUGCAGGAGAGGUAAGUGGAAUUCCUGGUGUAGCGGUGAAAUGCGUAGAUAUUAGGAGGAACAACAGUGGCGAAGGCGGCUUACUGGACUGUAACUGACGUUGAGGCGCGAAAGCGUGGGGAGCAAACAGGAUUAGAUACCCGUGUAGUC